CUUGCGCCAAAAUUUUAAUCCCCACAUUACCCUUCUUUCUUUCUUCAACCUAGUAAAUAGUAAUGAAUAAACAUACCAGCCACACUUGGUUUUUGGUUGCUUCAACCUAUCUAGCAGCUCACCGUAGGUUGUUCCGGCGAGGAAGACCUGCUUUAGGUCUCGUUCUCCAACGAUGAAAACUGGUUCUGUGAAGACGAAAGAGGUCUUGUUCUCCAACAACAAAGGAGCCCUCUUCUGACAUGUUCUUUCUCCGAUGAGGGAAGGUCUCCGAUUUUUCAUUCAAUCUCCGGUGAGUUGUUAGUGAAGCCCUAAUUCUCCCUUGCAUUUGGGCUACGAAAAAACUCCCCUGAGUCUGUGAUACAAAAAAUUGGUUCUUGCAUCUGUGCUACGAUCUACAUACAGAAAACUAUCAUUUCAAGUUAGUUUAUUGCUCCCCCUUUCCCCUUUUGAUAUGGCUUCAUUUGGUUUGUUUGAUUCGAUUCUUGAUGAAGCUAUCUGUAUAUAUUUGGUUUUUAUUUGGUUAGUAUAGUUUAGAAUUGGUGUAGGUUAGUAUAGUUUAGAAUUGGUGCAAAUCAAUUUAGAGUUUCUAAAAUUGGUGGAUUUGUCGCAUAUUUCUAUUGGUUAUUUUUGCAACUAUAUAAGACCUACGACACCUCUGUUUCUCUUGGUCGAAUUGUUAUUUUCGGUAACCAUGUAAGAGCUUCCUUUUAUACUAAACUCCUUAUCUGUAUGUUUUAAGUUUCCUUUGUUAUAAAUGUGACAUUUAUUGUGUGAUGUGGGAAAUGUGAAUGAGUAUGAUCAUGGUUGGCUAUGAUAAUGGGUUGGCAAUCAAUUUCAUCAUGGAUCAUAAAGAGAAUUUAACCUAUCUAUUAUCUGUGUAGGUGAAAUUCUUGUUGGCUAUAGGGACCUAUAAAUAGUUAAGGUUUGGGAUGCUAUUGUGGAAGGAAGUAGUCUUCUAUGCUUUCAAAAAACCCCUAAUGAUAAAUCUGAUUUGGAAGUCAUCUAACAAAGAUAUAAAUUGUUUUUAUUUAUUUAUUUAUUUUUUGGGGUAAAGAUAUAAAUUGUUUUUAUUGAACACAAGUAAUUGUCCCGGAGCAGAAAUAUAAAUAUGUUGUUCACUGCUCAGUGAGUGUUUCUCUUAAAAUUGGAUGAGUAAUUAAUGAACUUUGUUGGGGAGUUAGUUGGCCUUUAGAAGCCAAGCUUCUUGGAGGCAAGGAGGUAGCACCAAUCAGAUUUUUUUUUUCUUUUCAAUAUGUGUCCAAAAAGAAUUUCAGAUUUUGUUGUUGAUUUAGAGAAUUGAUUUUGUUGUUGUUGUUGUUGAUUUGGAGAAUUUCAGUUGCUGACCCCCUAGUCACUAUCCUAGAUUAGCUAUUUCUACAUCCUUGUUGUGACCAUACUUUUAACCUAGUUUUGAACCUAAUUUGGGGACUGAUCUAUUCAUUAUUAUAGCUGUUAUUAUGGGUUUUAUAAUGCUGUAAAUUAGUACCUAAUAGUACUACCUGUUGGUUGGGUUUUGUUUACUAUUAAGUGAACCUAGCCCUACAUCAGGGGGGAUUGCAUCAUAUUCUGCAAAAUACAUUAGCUGCAACUUCCGAGAAUCUAUACAACAUUUUACAUCCAACCAAAUGGAGUUGUUGUUUAACAUGUUGUUUUCAUACCUCUUCAUAUGUUGUUCUCAUUCUGUCUACUUAUAACUGUUGACCAUUUUAAUAGUUGAAUUUUACCGCAAUUGUUGUGAGGUGUCAUAUUCAGUUUAGAUGGUGUGGGAGAAUUCACACAAUAUUUGUUGAUCCAAACUGUUAUGCACAAGUAGACAUGGUCUGUCACAUAUACAAUUUUGUCAUUAACCAUAUACCUGGAGACCGUAGUGUAAGUUUUAAAGUCAAAUGUGAGAUCUCUCCUGAAGUGCAUGUGCAAGUGCUACAUGAUGCUGGCAUAUACAACCUGUUGGGUUUAGAUGGGGUGGAUAUCAUCAAACUAGCAGUGUCUGACCUUGAAGAUAACCCUAGUUAUCAGAAGGACAAGUGGACAGUCAAAACGUACUCCAAUGAUGUUGUUUAUAGAGAAACAAAUAGGAGGGGAGUGAGAGAUGUGGCACACUUCAGCUGGUCAGCAAUUGGGUUCUGGUAUAGGUACCCUGAAAAGGUGAAAAGCAGCAUAUGGAGACUAAAUUAGAUAGUAAGAGAAGGGGAAAACAGCCGAUUAGAAGAGGUGGGGAGUAUGUGUAGCUAUAAUACAAGUGCUAUAAGUGAUGGAAGUGAUAGUGCCACUACUAAUGCUACUGCUAAAGCUCCUAGCAAGGGUAAAGCUAAAGCUCCUAGCAAGGGUAAAGCUAAAGCUCCUAGCAAGGAUAAAGCUAAAGCUCAUGCUAAUGCUGUUGCUUUACCUAGGAGACUAAUAGAGAAGAAAUGGAAGUUAACAUUGUAAGUGAUAGUUCAGAUGAAGUACCUCAGGUAUCUUCUAAUAUGGGAGUAAGGACAAUAAAUAAUAUUGCUGAUUUGGGAGAUGAUUCAACUCAAAUCUAGAAUCUUUCUACAAGUGAUGAAGAUUGGGUACGUCAACAUGAUGAGUUUGUCGAUAAGGGAAGUGAAAGUGGUGACAGCCUUAUUGAUGAUUGUUAUGUAGAGGAUGAUGAAGUUAACAAUGUAGGUGAGGUUGGAUAUCAUUCUAAAGAUGAUGGUUAUGAUGUUGUUGAGGAUGGUAAAAUAAAGUUAGUUAGAAAUUCAUAUGAUAAUGUGAAUCACUUUAGGUUGCCCUGCAAUAGUUUUCUAUUCAAGAAGGUUUUGAUAUAUUGAAACAUAAGAAUUAGAAAAUAAGAGUUACUGCAGUAUGCAAUGCACCUAGUUGUACUUGAAGAGUAUAUGCUUCACCAGUUGACGAUAAGUAGGGGCUUAAGAAUGCUAUGACAUUUAUGAUCAAGUCAUACAAUCCAAGGCAUGCUUGUAUUUUGUUAACAAAAUACAAGAGUGUUAUAUUACAUUGGAUUGCAAAAAAAACUUGCUCUUCACCUUAAGGUUGAGACAGAUAUGGCUGUAAAGUCCAUGGCUACAUUCUUGCUUGCAUGAAACAUAUAGGAUUAAACCCCCUUACAUGAAGUUGUACUGGGCAUGCAUCAUUGCCUUGGAAAUGACACGAGGUAGUCAUAAAGAUUCCUAUGCUCUAUUACCUACAUAUGGUAAUUUGGUGUUACAGAAGAUGCCAGAUAGUUUUUUUAAGAUACAAUACGAUGAAAAGCAUGACAUGUUAGGGAACGCAGUGUUCAAGAGAAUGUUUAUUAGCUUUAAAGCUUGUAUUACUGAUUUUUUGAAGGGAUGUAGACCAUUUCAUUGGAUGUUUGUUAGCUUUAAGGCUCGUAUUACUGGUUUUUUAAAGGGAUGUAGACCAUUCAUUAGUCUAGAUGGCUACCAAUUAAAGGGCAGAUAUGGGGGCAUCCUUUUGUCAGCAAUUUCUUUUGAUGAGAAUAAUGAAUUGUUCCUAAUGGAAUAUGCUAUUGUGGAGGUUGAAUGCAAAGAAAGUUGGCUUUUUUUACUUAAAAUUCUACGUGAAGCCCUUGGACCGGCAUUUGAUGAGUUUGCUCUAACCUUUAUGUCAGACAAACAAAAGGUACUUGAUAAUAAUUUAUAACAACUACCAUUUACUCCAUGCUUCAAUACCAUAUUAAAUGACUUUUAAUAUAUUGUUUAUGUUUUGUAGGGUUUAUCGAAUGCCAUCACUAGAGUAUUUUAUUAUGCUCAUUAGAGAUGUUGUGUGAGACAUCUGUACCAGAACUUUAAGUCAAUUUUCAGGACAAUUGUAUAAGAAACACUUUUGGUCAGCAAUAUCAGCAACUACUCUCCUCCAGUUUGAGAAGGAAAUGGAUUCCAUCAAAAAGAUAUCUAAUGGAGCAUGUAGUUGGUUGAUGAGUAAUCCUACAAGAUUAUGGGCAAGGCAUGCAUUUGAUAUUAAUGCAAAGAGUCCUCAACUAACCAACAACAUGACCGAGUCAUGCAACCACUAAAUAUUAGAUGUGAAGGACAAGCCUAUUAUCUUGGUGAUUGAUGAGAGAAGCCUAUUAUGAGGGUUGCAACUACCCAAUUGGUGGCCUAGUCACACCUGAUAUGAAAAAAACAUUUAGAUAAGGUCUAACAAAAAGCAAGGAAAUGCAUAGUGUAUCAAGGUUACACAUGCAUUUGAGGUGGUGGAUAUCCAUGGUGGCAGCGUUGUGGUCAAUUUGUCAGAGAGGACAUAUGGUGGUACGAUGUGGGAUUGUAUUGGGUUGUCAUGUAAACAUACAGCAGCAACUAUCACACACACUAGGUGGUCAUUGGAGUCUUACUGCAGUUCAUACUAUAGUGUCAAUACAUUCCUUUAAGCAUAUAGUGAGUUCAUCCAACCACUCCCAAUAUUGGCAAAUUUAGUAGUUGAUGGCUCUAAUGUGUUGGUCCAACCUCCAUCUCUUAAAAGGAGGCCCGAAAGACCUCAUAAAAAUAGGAAAAGAGAAUUUGAUGAGGGACUUACUGCGCGGAGUUCAGGAAGAAAUCAUCAAGUGUUAGAUGUGAUAUCUAUAAACUAGUAGGCCACAACAAGAGAACAUGUCCUCGAGAUGGAGAACAAUUGAAGAAUAAUAAAACAACAAGCAUGAAGAGAAAGCAAAGGGAUGAGAGUCAACGUGGAGGCACAAGCACUCGAAUACUGACUAGGUCACAAUCAUCUACCUAGCCUACAAAGCUAACAACUCAAGAGAAAACCUUGGCCAGGUAAGCUGUCAAGUAUGCAAAAUGGAAGGCAAAGCAGACUAGGAGGAAGUAGGAAGAUGGAUGUUACUGCUGAUGAGAGCAUAAUGUCUUUAAGAAGCAUGUUGCAGUUGAUGAGAGCACUUUUGUUUCUUUCCCAUUUUUUUUUUUUAAGGUCGUGGGAUGAAUGAAUUUUAAUGUGUUAUGGAACAACUUUAAAGAGAGAGAGUUGCGACUUGCAAUAUUUAUGUGUUGAUGUUGAUGAGAUUUAGACUGUAUGCGUGCAUCUUGUGUAAGACUGUAUGAUGAUAUACCAAUUAGGUGAUGUUCAUGUUGUUGAGGAA